rnacentral:rRNA from 1 species
GACGAACGCUGGCGGCGUGCCUAGUACAUGCAAGUUGAGCGCUGAAGGUUGGUACUUGUACCGACUGGAUGAGCAGCGAACGGGUGAGUAACGCGUGGGGAAUCUGCCUUUGAGCGGGGGACAACAUUUGGAAACGAAUGCUAAUACCGCAUAAAAACUUUAAACACAAGUUUUAAGUUUGAAAGAUGCAAUUGCAUCACUCAAAGAUGAUCCCGCGUUGUAUUAGCUAGUUGGUGAGGUAAAGGCUCACCAAGGCGAUGAUACAUAGCCGACCUGAGAGGGUGAUCGGCCACAUUGGGACUGAGACACGGCCCAAACUCCUACGGGAGGCAGCAGUAGGGAAUCUUCGGCAAUGGACGAAAGUCUGACCGAGCAACGCCGCGUGAGUGAAGAAGGUUUUCGGAUCGUAAAACUCUGUUGGUAGAGAAGAACGUUGGUGAGAGUGGAAAGCUCAUCAGGUGACGGUAACUACCCAGAAAGGGACGGCUAACUACGUG